UCCCGACCUCAAGUAAUUCUCCUGCCUUAGC
rnacentral:piRNA from 1 species